rnacentral:rRNA from 1 species
UACAGAGGUCCCAAGCGUUGUUCGGAUUCACUGGGCGUAAAGGGUGCGUAGGCGGUUGGGUAAGUCUGUCGCGAAAUCUCCGAGCCUAACUCGGAAACUGCGUCGGAUACUAUUCAACUCGAGGAAUGGAGGGGAGACUGGAAUUCUCGGUGUAGCAGUGAAAUGCGUAGAUAUCAGGAGGAACACCGGUGGCGAAGGCGGGUCUCUGGGCAACAACUGACGCUGAGGAGCGAAAGCGUGGGGAGCGAACAGG